rnacentral:lncRNA from 1 species
CCCCAUCCCUGACUCCCAUCCCUGUCCCUGACUCCAUCCCCACUCUGGUCCCCUUCUGUCCCCAUCCCUGCUCCGUCCCUGGCCUUGGCCCCAACCCCGUCCCUCCAUCCCCACCCCAACCUCAUCCCAGCCCCGUCCUCAUCCCUGAUCCCCAUUUGUCCCCUUCCCUGUCCCCAUCCUCAUCCCUGGUCCCUGUUUGUCCCCAUCCCUGUCCCCAUCCUCAUCUCUGGCCCUUGUUUGUCCCCAUCCCUGAUCCCAUUCCCAUUCCUGGUCCCCAUUUGUCCCCAUCUUCAUCCCCGUCCCUGUCCCCAUCCUCAUCCCUGGUCCCUGUUUGUCCCCAUCUUUGUCCCCAUCCCUGUCCCCAUCCUCAUCCGUGGUCCGUUUGUCCCUGUCCCAGAACCCAUCCCCAUCCCUCAUCCCCAUUUGUCCCCAUCUCUGUCCCCAUUUUCCCCGUCCCCAUUUUCCCCAUCCCCGUCCCCUUGGCUCRGUCACCCCGAACCCUCCCGCCUGCGCGGCCCUGGCUCCCUAACGAGGGGCUCCCGGCGCCCGCUAACGAGGGGCAGGCGGACGAGGCCGGGCCGGGAUCGGGAGACGCUUCCCGUGGCCGGGCCCGGACGCCUGGGUCCCUCCAGGUCCCUCCUGCCUUGCUGCCGUGCCUCAGUUUCCCCGGUGCCCCUUCCUCCUUCCCUUCCUCUGCCUUUUUCACUCCCUUCUUCCUCCAUCCCCUCUUCUCUCUCGCCCAUUUAUUCUCCAUCCUUCUUUUCCUCCCUUCUUUUUCCUUCCCCUUUUCCUUUUCCUUAUUGCUUCUUCUCUAUCGCCUCCUUUCAUCCUGGCUCUCUCCCUCCAUCCUUCCCCUCCUCCCAGCCACUCCUCUUUCCUUUCCCUCUUUCUUCCCUCUUCUUCUUUCGUUCCCUUCUCUCCUCCCUCCUCCUUCCACCCCCUCGAUUUGGUCCCUUUCCUUCAUCUUUGAUCCUUCGUCCUUUGUGUCUUCCUCCCUUCUCAACUUUUCCCGUUUCUUUCUCUUCUCUUCACUCUUUUUCCCAAUUUGUUUCCUUUUCCUACCUUUUCUUUUCCUUUUUUCUACUUUUCCUUUUGCUUUUCCUCUUUCCUUUUCCUUCUUUCCCUUUCCCUUUUCCCUUUCCCUUUCCUUUCCUUUUCCUUUCCUUUUCCUUUCCUCUUCCCUUUUCCCCCUUUUCCUUUUCCCUUUCCUUUUCUCUUUCCUUUUUCUUCUUCUCUUUUCCCUUUUCUUAUUUUUCCUUUUCCUUUUUUCCUUUUCCUUUUUUCCUUUUCCUUUUUUCCUUUUCCUUUUCCUUGUCCUUUUUCCUUUUCCUUCUUUUUUUUCACUUUUGCUUUUCCUUUUUUUUCUCUUUUUAUUUUCCUUUUCCCUUUCCUUUUCCUCUUUUUCCUUUGCCUUUCCUUUUCCCUUUUCCUUUUCCCUUUCCCUUUUCCCUUUCCCUUUUCCCUUUUCCUUUUCCCUUUUCUUCUUUUCCCUUUUCUUCUUUUCCCUUUUCUUCUUUUCCCUUUUCUUCUUUUCCCCUUCCUUCUUUUCCCUUUCCUUCUUUUCCCUUUCCUUCUUUUCCCUUUCCUUUUUCACUUUUCCUUUUCCUUCUUUUUCUCUUUUCCCUUUCCUUCCUUNNNNNNNNNNNNN